UACAGAGGUCUCAAGCGUUGUUCGGAUUCAUUGGGCGUAAAGGGUGCGUAGGCGGCGCGGUAAGUCGGGCGUGAAAUCUCGGAGCUUAACUCCGAAACUGCAUUCGAUACUACCGUGCUUGAGGACUGGAGAGGAGACUGGAAUUUACGGUGUAGCGGUGAAAUGCGUAGAUAUCGGAAGGAAGACCAGUGGCGAAGGCGGGUCUCUGGACAGUUCCUGACGCUGAGGCGCGAAGGCCAGGGGAGCAAACGGG
rnacentral:rRNA from 1 species